CUAAGAAUAAUACAUGUUUAUAAUCACUAACUAAAUUUUUUUAAAUAGAGAAUACAUAAUUUUAGUUGGAUGGUAAUGCCGUUAAUCACAAAUAGCCGUGUUUGAGGGGUCCAGUACUUCACGCCUAAAUAACUUUUCUCGUUGAUAAUAAUUACAUUUAAAAACUUUUCCUACCCACAAUCCAUAUUAUUAAUUUAUUAGUUUCAUAUUUGGUGGUUACUAUUGAGUAUUGACUUAUCGCUAGAAGGCUGCAUCGUCAUCCUCGCAACUAGUCCGGCUACGCGCAAUUUAGUGCAAAAGGUAUUCCAUGCUAACGUGUGCGUGAUUUAACAGAUCCCAAUGUAGAAUAUUCACGUGAGGUUUUUGCAUGGAUGUAAUCACCAAGGAUCACUAUGUUGUAAGAGCGAAUCUCAGCCUUUGAUAUCUGCAUGGAGAUCUUACAUUCUCAUUUUUGGCCAAAAAUAUUCCUUUUUAUAAAGAAAAGGCCUAUCCAAAAAUACAUUUUUGAAUGCUUAUUCUACGGGCAACAAGAUUUUGAUCCACAUUUUAAAAACAAAAAAAAUUGUUCUUUAAUAAAGCUCAAUUCAAAAAUAAUGUAAAGACACUAAAUUUUAUUUUAUGUUUCAAAAUUUUGUUAUCAAAUUAAAUGAAUAGCUGUGAAAAAUAUAUUAUUAAUAAUAUAUAGAUGGUUCGUUAUAUAUAAACUAAAAUAAGAAAUUAAUAUUUGCGAGAUUAUUUUUAGAUAUGUGCUUGGUAUUAAAGAUGAUCAUUUUGCUAUGUAUUGUAAACAAAAUAAAAUUUGAUUUUAGUUUUAUAUAUAUAUAUAUAUAUAUAUAUUUUCUGUUUAGACGUUUUUGAUUCACGCUUUCAAAAAAAGAGAUUAGUUUUUGAGAUUUUGUUAUUUUACUCGACUAAAACUUUGAAACUUUCGGAUAAUUUUUACUGUAAUAUGGUUAUGUUUGUUUAACUAGUUUGUUUAACCCAUUUCAUCUUGAUUUAUUUGUAAUGAUUUAAUCUGAAACUAAACCAAGUGUAACCUGCAGAAAAAAAAUAGCAAAACAACUUUUGUCACGAAGAACCAAGCAUAAACAAUGAUUACACUGGCAUGGAGCAUUUUGACCAUGAAUUGUCACCAGAAAAAAUCAUGUUAGUCCAACAUCAGAACAUCUACUACGAAUCUGCGGUGCAGUCGAAACUAGCUAAGAAUAAUUUUUUCUUGUAUGAAAACUACAACCAUUCACUAACCUAGCAGCACUAGAAGAAUAGGAAACAAGACACACAUAGGCAAGACUGCCUCACAAGUGAGAUGACGAGAAACGGGCAGACAGUAGGAGGAGAAGACUUAGACCCUUGAAGCACUGGAUACAUAUACGCGAUGAACACAUGUAGACAUUUGACCUGUACGCGCUUAGACAGUAAAACAAUAAGCUGACACACGACGACUUCAUGACACUAAGUACGCCUGGAUCUAGAAGAUAAACUUCCAAACAGUCACCCUUAAGACUGAAACAAGCAAAAAAACUACCCUCAAAACACCGGAAAAGGAACUCACUGACAUAGAUAAACCUCCAAACCCACCACAAAUCUAAAAGAUAAUUGGACAUAUGAAGCUUAUAACGCACGCUACUAGCCGAACAACACUUCAACACCUUUGUCAACAAAACCAGAUCAAAAAAUAAAAAUGUAUGUAGUAUCAACAUCAAACCUUAAAAUCGGACUCCGCUUAGAGCACACACCCUUGAACUCUCUCACCGAAACAACAUAGAGUCGGAAUGGGAUGUCUGCCACCAAAUCCACCGACGAGGCAAUGGACAUAGAUAGUGACAACCGCCAGAGCUCUGAGCAUAUAGUAUAUCAAAAAGAAAAAAAUACACCACCAUGUGUGCAUCUAGAUGUGUCUUAAAUCUCUGUGCACCAAUAAAAAUCUGACAUUUGUUUGGUUGGAUGUAGGCGCUAGGAAGAUAAAUUCGCUAUCAAGGUUGACAUCUAGGGGGUGCAGGGGCUGCAGGCCCCCGCAGUACAGUAUGUCUUUUCG
rnacentral:lncRNA from 1 species